GAUAAACGCUGGCGGCGCACAUAAGACAUGCAAGUCGAACGAACUUAACCUUUAGUUUACUAAUGGAGCGGUUAGUGGCGGACUGGUGAGUAACACGUAAGCAACCUGCCUAUCAGAGGGGAAUAACAGUUAGAAAUGACUGCUAAUACCGCAUAUGCCUUGAGUAUCGCAUGGUACAAGAGGGAAAGGAGCAAUCCGCUGAUAGAUGGGCUUGCGUCUGAUUAGAUAGUUGGUGGGGUAACGGCCUACCAAGGCUACGAUCAGUAGGGGUUCUGAGAGGAAGGUCCCCCACAUUGGAACUGAGACACGGUCCAAACUCC
rnacentral:rRNA from 1 species